rnacentral:rRNA from 1 species
GACGAACGCUGGCGGCGUGCUUAACACAUGCAAGUCGAACGGAAAGGCCCUGCUUGCAGGGUACUCGAGUGGCGAACGGGUGAGUAACACGUGGGUGAUCUGCCCUGCACUUCGGGAUAAGCCUGGGAAACUGGGUCUAAUACCGGAUAGGAGCCAUUUUUAGUGUGAUGGUUGGAAAGUUUUUUCGGUGUAGGAUGAGCUCGCGGCCUAUCAGCUUGUUGGUGGGGUAAUGGCCUACCAAGGCGGCGACGGGUAGCCGGCCUGAGAGGGUGGACGGCCACAUUGGGACUGAGAUAAGGCCCAGACUCCGACGGGAGGCAGCAGGGGGGAAGAUUGCACAAUGGGCGCCAGCCUGAUGCAGCGACGCCGCGUGGGGGAUGACGGCCUUCGGGUUGGAAACUCCUUUCGCUAGGGACGAAGCUUUUUGUGACGGUACCUAGAUAAGAAGCACCGGCUAACUACGUG